rfam:Oxobacter pfennigii strain DSM 3222 OXPF_contig000041, whole genome shotgun sequence.
GAUACUUGCGUUCAGUCACAGUCCGAGCGUUGAAGCGGCCAACAGGCCGUGAGCCGUCGCAGGCAAUGAGGACGCCUCGCCAUCAGAAUGGGGAGAGGUGAAAUUCCUAUGG